rnacentral:misc_RNA from 1 species
AUAUACGUAUUAUAUAUAUAUAUAUAUAUCAAACCGAAUAUAUAUAAUUAAUAUAUAUAUAUAUAUAUAUAUACGUAUAUAUAUAUAUAUUUUAAAAUAACCCGAGAACGAUGACCACAACAGACUGUAAGAUGUCUACUACGGACAGGGUCAUCAAAAGUGUACCCUUUCCACCAAGUCAUCGAUUACAAACACUAGAGGUGUUUGACCCACGAGGCAAACCUAAACCUGAUGUUUUAAAGCAGCAUUUCGUGUUAGAAGGUAGAGUCACAGAGGAUGUAGCAUUAAGGAUUAUUAAUGAAGGAGCAGCAUUGCUGCGGCAAGAAAAGACUAUGAUUGACAUUGAAGCACCUGUUACAGUCUGCGGUGAUAUUCAUGGACAGUUUUAUGACUUAAUGAAGUUAUUUGAAGUUGGAGGACCACCAGCUACAACGCGUUACCUCUUUUUAGGAGACUAUGUUGACAGAGGAUAUUUUAGCAUAGAGUGUGUUUUAUAUUUAUGGGCCCUGAAGAUCUUAUAUCCAAAUACUUUUUUCUUACUCCGUGGAAACCAUGAGUGUAGACAUCUGACAGAAUAUUUCACAUUUAAACAAGAAUGUAAAAUCAAAUACACCGAACGAGUAUAUGACGCCUGUAUGGAUGCAUUUGACUGCCUGCCUCUAGCAGCCUUAAUGAACCAACAAUUUUUGUGUGUCCAUGGAGGUCUCUCACCAGAAGUACAUACUUUAGAAGAUAUAAGAAAAUUGGACAGAUUCAAAGAACCACCAGCAUUUGGUCCAAUGUGUGAUUUAUUAUGGUCCGAUCCUCUGGAAGAUUUUGGCAAUGAAAAAACUACAGAACACUUUACACACAAUAGUGUUAGGGGUUGCUCAUAUUUCUACAGCUAUGCAGCAUGUUGUGAUUUCUUGCAACAGAAUAAUCUAUUAUCUAUAAUCAGGGCACAUGAAGCUCAGGAUGCUGGGUAUCGUAUGUAUAGGAAAAGUCACCAAACUGGUUUUCCGUCAUUAAUAACUAUAUUUUCAGCACCUAAUUAUUUGGAUGUAUACAACAAUAAAGCGGCAAUUCUCAAGUAUGAAAAUAACGUAAUGAAUAUUAGGCAGUUCAACUGCUCUCCACACCCAUAUUGGCUGCCAAACUUUAUGGAUGUUUUCACAUGGUCUUUACCAUUCGUGGGAGAAAAAGUUACAGAGAUGUUAGUAAACGUCCUUAAUAUCUGUUCAGAUGAUGAGUUGAUGACUGAAGGAGAUGAUACAUUUGAAGCUGAACUUGGUAAACAAAGAAGACAGAACAACUUCAACAACAACAUCAACAACAACAACAACAACAACAACGUCAAAUCUCAGGGAUUAGUGAAGACCAUAUCACAGUUGCUGCCAGGAAAGAGGUCAUCAGAAACAAGAUUCGAGCCAUCGGUAAAAUGGCUAGAGUAUUUACUGUACUGAGGGAAGAGAGCGAAAGCGUACUGCAGUUGAAGGGACUUACUCCAAAUGGUUUGCUACCUCUCGGAGCGCUAUCUGGUGGCAAAGAUACUCUGAGAAGUGCUAUCGAUAAUCCGAACGAGGAACCAGCUAUCAAAG